GAUGAACGCUGGCGGCGUGCUUAACACAUGCAAGUCGAACGGGAAAUAUUUCAUUGAGACUUCGGUGGAUUUGAUUUAUUUCUAGUGGCGGACGGGUGAGUAACGCGUGGGUAACCUGCCUUAUACAGGGGGAUAACAGUCAGAAAUGGCUGCUAAUACCGCAUAAGCGCACAGAGCUGCAUGGCUCAGUGUGAAAAACUCCGGUGGUAUAAGAUGGACCCGCGUUGGAUUAGCUAGUUGGUGGGGUAACGGCCCACCAAGGCGACGAUCCAUAGCCGGCCUGAGAGGGUGAACGGCCACAUUGGGACUGAGACACGGCCCAGACUCCCACGGGAGGCAGCAGUGGGGAAUAUUGCACAAUGGGGGAAACCCUGAUGCAGCGACGCCGCGUGAAGGAAGAAGUAUCUCGGUAUGUAAACUUCUAUCAGCAGGGAAGAUAGUGACGGUACCUGACUAAGAAGCCCCGGCUAACUACGUG
rnacentral:rRNA from 1 species